GUGAAUUAAGCAUGAAUUGGAUGUUAGUUUACUUGUCAUUUUAUUAACAUUUACUAAACUUUUUAAAGCUCACACCCUCAAAUUCGUGUAGAUAAUCAUCAAGAUUGAGGAGUUGAGGAGCCGAGUAAGAGAGUUCCAAGAGAUUUAGGCUUGGUAGAGACUUUAUUACUCAUUUUAGAGACUGUAGUCGGGCAUUGUGGAACUCUUAGGAAUUAGUUUAAUUUUUGUUGUAAUUGACUUUGGA
rnacentral:lncRNA from 1 species